CUUGCACAAUUGGUGGCUGACUAAAUACUUUUUUGCCCCACUGUAUGCAAAACAAUUGACAUAUUUCACUGCUCUAUUUCACUAGGAUGAGUUGCACAGAAAAAGCCAUAUCUCAGACUGGCCAAUAAAAAUAAAAGAUUAAGAUGGGCAAAAGAACACAGACACUGGACAGAGGAACUCUACCUAGAAGGUCAGCAUUCCGGAGUCGCCUCUUCAUUGUUGACAUUAAGGCUGGUGUUUUGCGGGUACUAUUUGAUGAAGCUGCCAAUUGAGGACAUGUGAGGCAUCUGUUUCUCAAACAAGACACUCUAAGAGUCCGAUCCCAUCAAAUUUGCAGAGGCAUCAACAUCAAGCUCAGCAACAGGAACUAUUACUACUCCUGCUGUUGCUGAAGACUUUGAUGCCAACUUUAGUAGUACAGAGCCUGUAGACUCAGUGAAUGAAAGCAUUCAGCCUGGAAUAAGCUCAAGCUCAACAUCAUCUGACUUUGAAACAA